UACGUAGGUCCCGAGCGUUGUCCGGAUUUAUUGGGCGUAAAGCGAGCGCAGGUGGUUUAUUAAGUCUGGUGUAAAAGGCAGUGGCUCAACCAUUGUACGCAUUGGAAACUGGUAGACUUGAGUGCAGGAGAGGAGAGUGGAAUUCCAUGUGUAGCGGUGAAAUGCGUAGAUAUAUGGAGGAACCCCGGUGGCGAAAGCGGCUCUCUGGCCUGUAACUGACACUGAGGCUCGAAAGCGUGGGGAGCAAACAGG
rnacentral:rRNA from 1 species